ensembl:snoRNA F39B2.14 ncRNA
UUUUUUUUUGGAAAAUGAAUAGAAAAUAAAAUUUUUCAUGUAAACCUAUAGGGUCUACAGCGAAAAAGCACUCGAAAAUGUAAUUGAAAGAAGGAACGUCGCCAUGGCAACGGGAGAAGUGGGCUAGUGGAGUAACUCAUCGAUUUUCGCAAGCUUCUUUAAGAAAUGUUCACGAAAACGGACACCUGUACUAAAUACUUUCAAUGUUUGAUGGGACAUUUCGCCUUGUCGACGA